rnacentral:rRNA from 1 species
AUACGUAGGGGACAAGUGUUAUCCGGAUUUACUGGGUGUAAAGGGAGCGCAGACGGCAGUGCAAGUCUGAAGUGGAAGCCCGGGGCUCGACCCCGGGACUGCUUUGGAAACUGUUCUGCUAGAGUACUGGAAGGGCAAGCGGAAUUCCUGGUGUAGCGGUGAAAUGCGUAGAUAUCAGGAGGAACACCGGUGGCGAAGGCGGCUUGCUGGACAGCAACUGACGUUGAGGCUCGAGAGCGUGGGGAGCAAACAGGAUUAGAUACCCUGGUAGUCCACGCUGUAAACGAUGAAUACUAGGUGUUGGGAGACUAAGUCUUUCAGUGCCGUCGCAAACGCAGUAAGUAUUCCACCUGGGGAGUACGUUCGCAAGAAUGAAACUCAAAGGAAUUGACGGGG